rnacentral:lncRNA from 1 species
GAAAGAAAGAAAAAUGUCAUAUGGUUACAAGCUUUUGAAAAAUGCAUGUAUACUUUUAAACACAGAAUGACAAAAGCAAAAAUACCUAACUUGAGGGAGGGGGUGCAAAGCAAAUGUAUUAGGAGUAGGCAUGAGUAAAAAGUUAAGUUUCCCUUUCUCACUUUUGUGUUUCUCCUUUACGGGUGCUGUAGAGACUGAAAAUAACUCUGCUCUCAGUGAUGUCAUCACCAUUAGAGGCAUGCUGUCAGCUUAAUUUGUUAUCUGACUUCAACAAAGGAAAUAGAAUCUGACUGCUGACUCACUUGUUAGGUCUGAAGAACAGUCUGCUUUUGCUGAGAGUGGAAAUGCCUCUGUUGAAAUGAUCUCGUGGAAAUAGGAAGAUGCAAGAAGAAAAUGUUCAAGUAGUCUGUAAAACCUGCACACUGCUACAAACAGAAGGAAAGUUCACAAAAGAGAAUAAGAGUUGGGGGAUAGUGAUUGAUCUGUAUCAUAUGCUGUCCUCAUGUGCUUUCUUUUGGGAGAAUAGCUGCUGUCCUUUGCCAUUCCUGAGCUGGCAUUUUACUCACCAGUCUCUGGGCAAGGAUUCCAAGCCAAACACCACAUCCAGUGGUUUCUGUCUGGAGAGGAUAUGAGUCUUCCACAUUCAGCUGUAGUGAAGAAGAUUA